AGCUUUGCGCAGUGGCAGUAUCGUAGCCAAUGAGGUUUAUCCGAGGCUCGAUUAUUGCUAAUUGGAAUGGGUAGCCUAUUCCUUCUCCACCAGAUCUUCCUGACCCAGGAAUCGAACUAGAGUCUCCUGCCUUGCAGGCAGAUUCUUUACCAAUUGAGCUAUCAG
rnacentral:snRNA from 1 species